UACGAAGGGGGCUAGCGUUGCUCGGAAUUACUGGGCGUAAAGCGCACGUAGGCGGCUCUUUAAGUCGGGGGUGAAAUCCUGGAGCUCAACUCCAGAACUGCCUUCGAUACUGUAGAGCUUGAGUUCGGGAGAGGUGAGUGGAACUGCGAGUGUAGAGGUGAAAUUCGUAGAUAUUCGCAAGAACACCAGUGGCGAAGGCGGCUCACUGGCCCGAUACUGACGCCGAGGUGCGAAAGCGUGGGGAGCAAACAGG
rnacentral:rRNA from 1 species